CGUAGGGUGCAGGCGUUAAUCGGAAUUACUGGGCGUAAAGCGUGCGCAGGCGGUCUGCUAAGAGAGGUGUGAAAUCCCCGGGCUUAACCUGGGAACUGCGCUUCUAACUGGCAGGCUUGAGUGUGGCAGAGGGGGGUGGAAUUCCACGUGUAGCAGUGAAAUGCGUAGAGAUGUGGAGGAACACCGAUGGCGAAGGCAGCCCCCUGGGCUAACACUGACGCUCAUGCACGAAAGCGUGGGGAGCAAACAGGAUUAGAUACCCUGGUAGUCCACGCCCUAAACUAUGUCAACUGGUUGUCGGGGAAGCAAUUCCUUGGUAACGAAGCUAACGCGUGAAGUUGACCGCCUGGGGAGUACGGCCGCAAGGUUA
rnacentral:rRNA from 1 species